rnacentral:rRNA from 1 species
GAUGAACGCUGGCGGCGUGCCUAAUACAUGCAAGUCGAGCGAACAGACGAGGAGCUUGCUCCUCUGACGUUAGCUGCGGACGGGUGAGUAACACGUGGAUAACCUACCUAUAAGACUGGGAUAACUUCGGGAAACCGUAGCUAAUACCGGAUAAUAUAUUGAACCGCAUGUUUCAAUAGUGAAAGACGGUUUUGCUGUCACUUAUAGAUGGAUCCGCGCCGCAUUAGCUAGUUGGUAAGGUAACGGCUUACCAAGGCAACGAUGCGUAGCCGACCUGAGAGGGUGAUCGGCCACACUGGAACUGAGACACAGUCCAGACUCCUACGGGAGGCAGCAGUAGGGAAUCUUCCGCAAUGGGAGAAAGCCUGAAGGAGCAACGCAGCGUGAGUGAUGAAGGUAUUCGGAUCGUAAAACUCUGUUAUUAGGGAAGAACAAAUGUGUAAGUAACUAUGCACGUCUUGACGGUACCUAAUCAGAAAGCCACGGCUAACUAAGUG